UGCGUUGGCCCGGUCCUUUCGGCACCGGAUUCCUCAGCCCCCAGCCCCCCGGGGUCGUCGGGAUCGGGCCUGUUCGCAA
rnacentral:sRNA from 20 species